rnacentral:rRNA from 1 species
UACGGAGGGUGCAAGCGUUAUCCGGAUUCACUGGGUUUAAAGGGUGUGUAGGCGGAUAUUUAAGUCAGUGGUGAAAUCUCCGGGCUCAACCCGGAAACUGCCAUUGAUACUAUUUAUCUUGAAUUCUGUUGAGGUAGGCGGAAUACAUCAUGUAGCGGUGAAAUGCUUAGAUAUGAAUGUAGAACACCGAUUGCGAAGGCAGCUUACUAAACAGAUAUUGACGCUGAGGCACGAAAGCGUGGGGAUCAAACAGGA